rnacentral:rRNA from 1 species
GGAUCCAGACUUUGAUUAUGGCUCAGGAUGAACGCUAGCUACAGGCUUAACACAUGCAAGUCGAGGGGCAGCGGGAUUGAAGCUUGCUUCAAUUGCCGGCGACCGGCGCACGGGUGAGUAACGCGUAUCCAACCUUCCGUACACUCAGGGAUAGCCUUUCGAAAGAAAGAUUAAUACCUGAUGGUAUGAUGAGAUUGCAUGAUAGCAUCAUUAAAGAUUUAUCGGUGUACGAUGGGGAUGCGUUCCAUUAGGUAGUAGGCGGGGUAACGGCCCACCUAGCCAACGAUGGAUAGGGGUUCUGAGAGGAAGGUCCCCCACAUUGGAACUGAGACACGGUCCAAACUCCUACGGGAGGCAGCAGUGAGGAAUAUUGGUCAAUGGACGAGAGUCUGAACCAGCCAAGUAGCGUGAAGGAUGAAGGUCCUACGGAUUGUAAACUUCUUUUAUAAGGGAAUAAACCCUCCCACGUGUGGGAGCUUGUAUGUACCUUAUGAAUAAGCAUCGGCUAACUCCGUGCCAGCAGCCGCGGUAAUACGGAGGAUGCGAGCGUUAUCCGGAUUUAUUGGGUUUAAAGGGAGCGCAGACGGGUCGUUAAGUCAGCUGUGAAAGUUUGGGGCUCAACCUUAAAAUUGCAGUUGAUACUGGCGUCCUUGAGUGCGGUUGAGGUGUGCGGAAUUCGUGGUGUAGCGGUGAAAUGCUUAGAUAUCACGAAGAACUCCGAUUGCGGAGGCAGCACACUAAUCCGUAACUGACGUUCAUGCUCGAAAGUGUGGGUAUCAAACAGGAUUAGAUACCCUGGUAGUCCACACGGUAAACGAUGGAUACUCGCUGUUGGCGAUAUACUGUCAGCGGCUUAGCGAAAGCGUUAAGUAUCCCACCUGGGGAGUACGCCGGCAACGGUGCAACUCAAAUGAAUUGACGG